GUAACUCCACUAACCGACUCCGUUCAACUGGAAAUUCCUCUAUCAGACUGAAGCAUUCUGUGUAACGUCUUCAAAGCCUUAAGGAGUUGAAGGAGUCGGCCUGGGAAACCCCAGGAUGCUGCAAGUCGUUCUGACCCGUCUGACAGUCACUGGUUCUGCUGAAGAGAUGGACUCACUGGAUGAGCUCGGCCUUCCAGCCUCCACUGCAGAGAAAUUAGAAGUCCUGAACCAAAAACUGGAAUCAGGAGCUGUUCAGAAAUAAAUGCUGGAUCUCAGAAGGACCUGAUCUGCUGUCUGCAACAUUUUAUCCAAGAUCCUUUCAAACCACCAAGCAGAGCAGCAGAGAUCUAUUCAGACUGGGUGGAGAGAGAAGUCUUUCUGGUCACCAGCUCUUGAUGACUGAAAUAUUUAAGGCUGUACCAAAGAACCAAGCGUCGGAUUCAGAACACCAAAAGUUUUAAGGCUCAAGGUUGUCUGGUUUGUGUUUUUGUUUUUUGU